CAAUAGCGUAUAUUAAAGUUGUUGCGGUAAAAAAGCUCGUAGUUGGAUUUCUACCGAAGAUAGCCGGUCGGGUCUUCGACCUUGUAUCUGGUUUUGUCUUUGGUAUCCUCAUAGGGAACGUUUCAGCGCUUUAUUGCGUGGUGCGGUAUCUAUGACUUUUACUUUGAGGAAAUUAGAGUGUUCACGGCAGGCAAACGCCUUGAAUAUAUUAGCAUGGAAUAAUAACAUAGGAUCUUCGUCCUAUUUUGUUGGUUUCUAGGGCUAAGAUAAUGAUUAAUAGGGAUAAUUGGGGGCAUCUGUAUCAACGCGUCAGAGGUGGAAUUCUUGGAUUGCGUUGCGACAAACUACUGCGAAAGCAUUUGCCAAGGAUGUUUUCAUUGA
rnacentral:rRNA from 1 species